UACGGGGGGGGCAAGCGUUGUUCGGAAUUACUGGGCGUAAAGGGCGCGUAGGCGGCCUGCUAAGUCGGAUGUGAAAUCCCUCGGCUCAACCGAGGAACUGCAUCCGAUACUGGCGGGCUUGAAUCCGGGAGAGGGAUGUGGAAUUCCAGGUGUAGCGGUGAAAUGCGUAGAUAUCAGGAAGAACACCCGUGGCUAAGGCGGCUCUCUAGUACGGUACUGACGCUGAGACGCGAAAGCGUGGGGAGCGAACAGG
rnacentral:rRNA from 1 species